rnacentral:rRNA from 1 species
CGUAGGGUGCAAGCGUUAAUCGGAAUUACUGGGCGUAAAGCGUGCGCAGGCGGUUGUGUAAGACAGGUGUGAAAUCCCCGGGCUUAACCUGGGAAUUGCAUUUGUGACUGCACGGCUAGAGUGUGUCAGAGGGGGUAGAAUUCCACGUGUAGCAGUGAAAUGCGUAGAUAUGUGGAGGAAUACCGAUGGCGAAGGCAGCCCCCCUGGGAUAACACUGACGCUCAUGCACGAAAGCGUGGGGAGCAAACAGGAUUAGAUACCCUGGUAGUCCACGCCCUAAACGAUGUCUACUAGUUGUCGGGUCUUAAUUGACUUGGUAACGCAGCUAACGCGUGAAGUAGACCGCCUGGGGAGUACGGUCGCAAGAUUA